rnacentral:rRNA from 1 species
UACGGAGGGAGCUAGCGUUGUUCGGAAUUACUGGGCGUAAAGCGCGUGUAGGCGGCUCGGUAAGUCCGCUCUGAAAGUCCAGGGCUCAACCCUGGGAUGCGGGUGGAUACUGCCGGGCUCGAGUCCGGAAGAGGCGAGUGGAAUUCCCGGUGUAGCGGUAAAAUGCGCAGAGAUCGGGAGGAACACCCGUAGCGAAGGCGGCACUCCUGGGCCGAUACUGACGCUGAGGAGCGAAAGCGUGGGGAGCGAACAGG